rnacentral:misc_RNA from 1 species
ACAGAAUUUCGAACAGCCAUUUUGAAAUUUAGAAGUGUAAACUUUGAGGGAUUUGUUUAUAUUUCUACGUUACAGCUGGCCAUGACAACAAACGACUUAACCACACUUAGAUGGAUGAUGCAUUAAGUGAAACUAAUGGAUCCUAAUUCAUAACCAGGAUUUAUUCGUUGAUGACGAUGAUGAUGACGACGACGACGACGAUGAUGAUGAUGACGACGACAACGAUGACAACUGAAGAUCUCUAACAAUAGAGAUGUGCCAUCAUCAAAAGUACAUUGUCAUUGAAUUCAUGUGAUUAAAUCUUGAUCUCUACCU